rnacentral:snoRNA from 12 species
UGGCAGUGAGGAAAAUCUAGGUGUUGAAUUAUGGUGAUAGUCUUAUACGCUAUUCUGAGCCAGCA